CCUACGAGAGGCAGCAGUGGGGAAUAUUGCGCAAUGGGCGAAAGCCUGACGCAGCGACGCCGCGUGAGGGAUGAAGGUCUUCGGAUCGUAAACCUCUGUCAGCAGGGAAGAACGGUCACUGUGCUAAUCAGCAGUGAAUUGACGGUACCUGCAAAGGAAGCACCGGCUAACUCCGUGGCAGCAGCCGCGGUAAUACGGAGGGGGUGAGCGUUAAUCGGAAUUACUGGGCGGAACGCGCUCGUAGGCGGUAUGUCAAGUCAAGGGUGAAAUCUCCGCGCUCAACGUGGUAACUGCCUUUGAAACUGGCAAACUCGAGUGUUUGAGAGGAUAGUGGAAUUCCAGGUGUAGGAGUGAAAUCCGUAGAUAUCUGGAGGAACAUCAGUGGCGAAGGCGACUAUCUGGCACAUAACUGACGCUGAGGAGCGAAAGCGUGGGUAGCAAACAGGAUUAGAUACCCCAGUAGUC
rnacentral:rRNA from 1 species